rnacentral:rRNA from 1 species
UACAGAGGUCUCAAGCGUUGUUCGGAUUCAUUGGGCGUAAAGGGUGCGCAGGCGGCGCGGUAAGUCGGGUGUGAAAUCUUGGAGCUUAACUCCGAAACUGCAUUCGAUACUGCCGUGCUUGAGGACUGGAGAGGAGACUGGAAUUUACGGUGUAGCGGUGAAAUGCGUAGAUAUCGUAAGGAAGACCAGUGGCGAAGGCGGGUCUCUGGACAGUUCCUGACACUGAGGCACGAAGGCCAGGGGAGCAAACGGG